AUCUGAAGGUGAGAAUGCAGCAGGCUCUCACUAUUCUUUGUCACCCAUGCACCUGAAAAACCCUUGCACUUAAAUAUCUGGUAGUUUUCAUAUCUUUAAGCAAAAGAGGAUACCUGGAAAUGAGUUGACUGCGUGAAUUAUCAUGGGAUUAGGGGGAGUGUGGAUCAGUUUUCAUCUGUUGAUUGUGGAAGGACUCCAAAAGAAGUCAGGGGAGGAAUAUUGGGCUGAUUUUUGGUCUCUUCACAUGGAUUUUCCCAAGUUGCACUAGCCCAUCUUGGAGAGGCAGAGAAGAAUAGAAAGUCACUUGAAAUUGGCCACUUCCCAAACCAGCCACCUCGUCCUGUCCUUGGCACACUGAGUCCCUGAAGACUCCUGAAUUCUGCCCAUGUGGGUGACAGCAGUGCAAUUCAAGGAAGGAGAAUCUGGCUGCUGUUCUGAAGCCUCAAACAGAUUUAGGACCCUGUGGCAGGUCAUGGUUAGAGGCGGAGAUUCUUCACCUCCUUCCCACCAAGCUCCGUUUGUCUCUGUUGUUGCAAGAGCUGUCUGCAUGUGGCUUUGAUCAGCCCAGGGCAGUUCUUGGCCUCCUCCCACAUGGGUCACUCCUGCAGUCCUCUGCUGCCCAAACCCUGCCAGUGAUGCCCAGUACAAGUAUUCCCAGUGAGGAAUGUCACCUACCAUUGGAACAUGAGUUACCAGGAAACACAGAGCAUGAUCACGUCAGGAGCCCUCAAGGAGCCAGUGCUCACACAACCUGCAGAUCCUCUGCCAGCAGGUAUGUGAAGGGAAACACAAGGCAACUUAAGAAAACUCAUUUGCAGGGCUUUAAAUCAAUGCAACUCAUCAAAAUCCUCCAACAAAAAAAAACCUUUUAAAAUGAAAAUAAAAAGAAUAUGACCUUA